rnacentral:rRNA from 1 species
AAAUUGAAGAGUUUGAUCAUGGCUCAGAUUGAACGCUGGCGGCAGGCCUAACACAUGCAAGUCGAACGGUAACAGGAAGCAGCUUGCUGCUUUGCUGACGAGUGGCGGACGGGUGAGUAAUGUCUGGGAAACUGCCCGAUGGAGGGGGAUAACUACUGGAAACGGUAGCUAAUACCGCAUAACGUCGCAAGACCAAAGAGGGGGACCUUCGGGCCUCUUGCCAUCGGAUGUGCCCAGAUGGGAUUAGCUAGUAGGUGGGGUAAUGGCCCACCUAGGCGACGAUCCCUAGCUGGUCUGAGAGGAUGACCAGCCACACUGGAACUGAGACACGGUCCAGACUCCUACGGGAGGCAGCAGUGGGGAAUAUUGCACAAUGGGCGCAAGCCUGAUGCAGCCAUGCCGCGUGUGUGAAGAAGGCCUUCGGGUUGUAAAGCACUUUCAGCGGGGAGGAAGGCAGUACGGUUAAUAACCGUGCUGAUUGACGUUACCCGCAGAAGAAGCACCGGCUAACUCCGUGCCAGCAGCCGCGGUAAUACGGAGGGUGCAAGCGUUAAUCGGAAUUACUGGGCGUAAAGCGCACGCAGGCGGUCUGUCAAGUCGGAUGUGAAAUCCCCGGGCUCAACCUGGGAACUGCAUUCGAAACUGGCAGGCUUGAGUCUUGUAGAGGGGGGUAGAAUUCCAGGUGUAGCGGUGAAAUGCGUAGAGAUCUGGAGGAAUACCGGUGGCGAAGGCGGCCCCCUGGACAAAGACUGACGCUCAGGUGCGAAAGCGUGGGGAGCAAACAGGAUUAGAUACCCUGGUAGUCCACGCCGUAAACGAUGUCGACUUGGAGGUUGUGCCCUUGAGGCGUGGCUUCCGGAGCUAACGCGUUAAGUCGACCGCCUGGGGAGUACGGCCGCAAGGUUAAAACUCAAAUGAAUUGACGGGGGCCCGCACAAGCGGUGGAGCAUGUGGUUUAAUUCGAUGCAACGCGAAGAACCUUACCUGGUCUUGACAUCCACGGAAUUUGGCAGAGAUGCCUUAGUGCCUUCGGGAACCGUGAGACAGGUGCUGCAUGGCUGUCGUCAGCUCGUGUUGUGAAAUGUUGGGUUAAGUCCCGCAACGAGCGCAACCCUUAUCCUUUGUUGCCAGCGGUUAGGCCGGGAACUCAAAGGAGACUGCCAGUGAUAAACUGGAGGAAGGUGGGGAUGACGUCAAGUCAUCAUGGCCCUUACGACCAGGGCUACACACGUGCUACAAUGGCGCAUACAAAGAGAAGCGACCUCGCGAGAGCAAGCGGACCUCAUAAAGUGCGUCGUAGUCCGGAUUGGAGUCUGCAACUCGACUCCAUGAAGUCGGAAUCGCUAGUAAUCGUGGAUCAGAAUGCCACGGUGAAUACGUUCCCGGGCCUUGUACACACCGCCCGUCACACCAUGGGAGUGGGUUGCAAAAGAAGUAGGUAGCUUAACCUUCGGGAGGGCGCUUACCACUUUGUGAUUCAUGACUGGGGUGAAGUCGUAACAAGGUAACCGUAGGGGAACCUGCGGUUGGAUCACCUCCUUACCUUAAAGAA